rnacentral:ncRNA from 1 species
GGGCGUUUUCAAGGAGCGCCUUUCAUUUUUUAUGUAUUGCUCCCCUUCGGGGCUAGUAUAUUAAAUUUAUUUUUGCGCUUUCCAAAUCAAUGUAUAUGUGUUAUAUUGUUUAUGGGAAGUAGGUAAGCAUUUCGGUGCUUACC